rnacentral:rRNA from 1 species
UACGUAGGGCGCAAGCGUUGUCCGGAAUUAUUGGGCGUAAAGAGCUCGUAGGUGGUUUGUCGCGUCUGCCGUGAAAGCCCGGGGCUUAACUCCGGGUCUGCGGUGGAUACGGGCAGACUAGAGGCAGGUAGGGGAGAACGGAAUUCCCGGUGUAGCGGUGAAAUGCGCAGAUAUCGGGAGGAACACCGGUGGCGAAGGCGGCUCUCUGGGACGGUACUGACGCUGAGACGCGAAAGCGUGGGGAGCGAACAGG